CAAUAGCGUAUAUUAAAGUUGUUGCGGUUAAAAAGCUCGUAGUUGGAGUUCUGCCAGGUGCCGCCUGUCCGCCCCAGUGGUGAGUACGUGGCGCGCAUUUGGCCCUUUCAAGGGGAGCGUAUCUGCACUUUAUUGUGUGGUGCGGGAUCCUUGACUUUUACUUUGAGGAAAUAGGAGUGUUCCAAGCAGGCUCUCGUCGUGCACAGCUCAGCAUGGAAUAAUAGCAUUGGACCUCGAUUCUAAGCUGUUGGUUGCCAGAAGCGAGGUAAUGAUGAAGAGGGAUAGUUGGGGGCAUUCGUAUUUCAUUGUCAGAGGUGAAAUUCUUGGAUUUAUGAAAGACGAACUUCUGCGAAAGCAUUUGUCAAGGAUGUUUUCAUUAA
rnacentral:rRNA from 1 species